UACGUAGGGUGCAAGCGUUGUCCGGAAUUAUUGGGCGUAAAGAGCUCGUAGGCGGUUUGUCGCGUCGACUGUGAAAACCUGGGGCUUAACUCUGGGCCUGCAGUCGAUACGGGCAGACUUGAGUUCGGUAGGGGAGACUGGAAUUCCUGGUGUAGCGGUGAAAUGCGCAGAUAUCAGGAGGAACACCGAUGGCGAAGGCAGGUCUCUGGGCAUUAACUGACGCUGAGGAGCGAAAGCAUGGGGAGCGAACAGG
rnacentral:rRNA from 1 species